CUACGGGUUGCUGCAGUGGGGAAUAUUGCACAAUGGAGGAAACUCUGAUGCAGCAACGCCGCGUGGAGGAUGACACUUUUCGGAGCGUAAACUCCUUUUAUAUAGGAAGAAGAUGACGGUACUAUAUGAAUAAGCGCCGGCUAACUCCGUGCCAGCAGCCGCGGUAAUACGGAGGGCGCAAGCGUUACUCGGAAUCACUGGGCGUAAAGAGCGUGUAGGCGGAUUAAAAAGUCAGAAGUGAAAUCCUAUAGCUUAACUAUAGAACUGCUUCUGAAACUCUUAAUCUAGAAUAUGGGAGAGGUAGAUGGAAUUUCUGGUGUAGGGGUAAAAUCCGUAGAGAUCAGAAGGAAUACCGAUUGCGAAGGCGAUCUACUAGAACAUUAUUGACGCUGAGACGCGAAAGCGUGGGGAGCAAACAGGAUUAGAUACCCGAGUAGUC
rnacentral:rRNA from 1 species